AAUGUGCAAAAUCAAUGCCAAAAGCAAUUCAAAUGUGCAAAAACAAUGCCAAAAACAAUUCAAGUGUGCAAAAAUAAUACCGAAAGCAACUCAAGUGUGCAAAAAUAAUACUGAAAGCAACUCAAGUGUGCAGAAAUAAUAUUUUAGCCCAGAGAAACCAAUUUUGGACUUCCAAACUCCAGAACUAUAAAACAUAAUUGGUUUUAAACCACUAAAUGGUAAUCUAUUAUAGAAGCAACUGGAAACUAAUACACCCAAUAAAAUAUAAAUUCCAUGAGAGUUGGGUCAU